CUAGGCCACAGACUGGUAACAGCAGGCUACGUCUGCACACUGUGACCGAGGGGAUAAAUACACAAACAGAGAGAUUCACCCGAGGACCAGAGAUACAAAAACAACAACCUGAGAGCAAAGGAGAUUAAUCAAACCUGUGUGUGGAGCUUUUGUGAAUACUGAAGGUACUUUCCCCACUGCACUAGAAACCUGUUAUGAUGAUGAAUCAAAAUGAUGGCACAUUUAAGGUUGAAGCACAUCCCUAACACCCAGACAGAUGUCAAGAACUUGGGAACCUCUCAGCCACCAGGAACAUCAUCUUGUUCUUGGAGUUUAUUCACAAGGCACUUGGUGGAGAUGAAUACAACAAUAAUCCAUGGCAGGACAUUUCCCUGCACCCAGAUGGAGCCCUGCUACCAGCAGGAACAUGGAGCACGCCAUGUCACUAAGUCAUGCCUUUUUCACAAAGGUGCUACAGAGACAUAAUAUUCAAAUGACCUCCAGAGCCCCCAGACGAACUACCUGAGAUCUCUUCAGGGCACAGAGAAACUUCUAUAAAAACGGACUUGUCCAUCCCCCUAUCCCCAGGUGAGUCUGCUGGGUCAUGGAACUCUAGAGCAGCACAUCAAAACACCUGCCACCCUGUUGUCAGCUAUCAGCAGACAGUUCCCUGAGGAAGGAUGCAACUAUCAAGGCUUUAAAAUUGUCAAAUGUGGGGGAUGAUCACCAAAUGCAAUAAAGUUUGGUAGAACCUACUCAUGUUCAUUGUUUUGUAGGUUACAACACAAAACUUUAUUAGUCUGUUCUUAUUUUUACUAACUACUCCGGUAACUUAAACAUCUGACAACAUGCAGACUUUUUCCAUCAUGACAACACUUAGAGCUUAUGAUUUAUUUUUUUAUGAAUCAAUGAAAGUAUCGUAUCCAGGGUGAAUACUGUACAUUUGUAUUCAGGUAUAUAAAAUAUCACACAGACAACUAAAAUAUAUUUCCCAG
rnacentral:lncRNA from 1 species